UGGGGAAUAUUGCACAAUGGAGGGAACUCUGAUGCAGCGACGCCGCGUGAGUGAUGAAGGAAUUCGUUUCGUAAAACUCUGUUCUAUGGGAAGAAAAGGACUGUACCAUAGGAGAAAGCUCCGGCUAAAUACGUGCCAGCAGCCGCGGUAAUACGUAUGGAGCGAGCGUUGUCCGGAAUUAUUGGGCGUAACGGGUGCGCAGGCGGCUUUACAAGUUGGAUGUGAAAUAUUGUGGCUCAACCACAAACGUGCAUCCAAAACUGCAAAGCUUGAGUUAAGGAGAGGUAAGUGGAAUUCCUGGUGUAGCGGUGGAAUGCGUAGAUAUCAGGAGGAAUACCGGUGGCGAAGGCGACUUACUGGACUUAAACUGACGCUCAGGCACGAAAGCGUGGGGAGCAAACAGG
rnacentral:rRNA from 1 species